rnacentral:tRNA from 1 species
GCCGGCGUGUUGUAGUGGCGUACACCUGGCAAGGCCUCUGGAGCCCAGAGAUCGCUGGUUCGAUUCCAGCCGCCGGCA